rnacentral:rRNA from 1 species
CGAAACCGGGUGACCUAACCAUGAGCAGGCUGAAGUGAGAGUAAAAUCUCAUGGAGGGCCGAACGCACGUUCGUUGCAAUGACCGGCGAUGACUUGUGGUUAGCGGAGAAAUUCCAAUCGAACUCGGAGAUAGCUGGUUCUCCCCGAAAUAGCUUUAGGGCUAGCGUUAUCUUAGAUUACCGGAGGUAAAGCACUGAAUGGGCUAGGGGGCGAUAAGCUUACUGAACCCUAUCAAACUCAGAAUGCCGGCUAAUUGAUGGAUAGCAGUCAGACAGUGUGAGAUAAGUUUCAUUGUCAAAAGGGAAACAGCCCAGACCCACAGCUAAGGUCCCUAAUGCAUGCUAAGUGGAAAACGAUGUGGAAUUGCGAAAACAACCAGGAUGUUGGCUUAGAAGCAGCCACUCAUUAAAAGAGUGCGUAAUAGCUCACUGGUCGAGUGACUCUGCGCGGAAAAUAUAACGGGGCUAAGCAUGCAACCGAAGCUUGGGAUUGUCAAAAGACAGUGGUAGGGGAGCGUCGUGUACGGGGUGAAGUCGCAUCGGAAGGAGCGGUGGACUGUACACGAGUGAGAAUGCCGGAAUGAGUAGCGAGAAUUAUGUGGGAAUCAUAAUGGCCGAAAAUCUAAGGUUUCUUGGGGAAGGUUCGUCCGCCCAAGGUAAGCCGGGAGCUAAGGCGAGGCCGCAAGGCGUAGUCGAUGCACAUACGGUAAAGAUUCCGUAGCCGCCGAACUUUAAGUCAGAGGGACACUUGCAGAUAGCGGAACCCAGCCGUUGGUUGAGCUGGGCGAAAGGGACUGAAUUUAGUAGGGAAGUCCGCGAUGCUGAAAGGCGAGAAAAGCUCUGAUGAAUACUAAGGCGCCCGUACCGCAAACCGACACAGGUAGAUGAGGAGAGAAUCCUAAGGCCAACGGGAGAAGGGUUGUUAAGGAACUCGGCAAAUUGACCCCGUAACUUCGGAAGAAGGGGAGCCCCGAAAGGGGCCGCAGUGAAUAGGCCCAAGCAACUGUUUACCAAAAACACAGGUUUAUGCUAAAUCGAAAGAUGACGUAUAUGAGCUGACGCCUGCCCGGUGCCGGAAGGUUAAGAGGAGAGCUUAGAGCAAUCGAAGGUUUGAAUUGAAGCCCCGGUAAACGGCGGCCGUAACUAUAACGGUCCUAAGGUAGCGAAAUUCCUUGUCAGGUAAGUUCUGACCCGCACGAAUGGCGUAAUGAUUUGGGCACUGUCUCGACAGCCCGCCCGGCGAAAUUGUAGUACUGGUGAAGAUGCCAGUUACCCGCAACUAGACGGAAAGACCCCAUGGAGCUUUACUGCAGUUUAAUACUGGGAAUCGGUAAUGCAUGUACAGGAUAGGUGGGAGACUAGGAAGCAUGGUCGUCAGGUCAUGUGGAGUCACCGGUGGGAUACCACUCUUGUAUUGCUGAUUUCCUAACCUGCGGCCGUGAAUCCGGUCGGGGGACACUGUUAGACGGGCAGUUUGACUGGGGCGGUCGCCUCCAAAAGAGUAACGGAGGCGCUCAAAGGUUCGUUCAGCACGGACGGAAAUCGUGCAUUGAGUGUAAACGCAUAAACGAGCCUAACUGCGAGACCGACGGGUCGAGCAGUAACGAAAGUUGGAGUUAGUGAUCCGGUGGUAUGUGAGUGGAAAUGCCAUCGCUCAACGGAUAAAAGCUACCCUGGGGAUAACAGGCUGAUCUCCCCCAAGCGUCCACAGCGACGGGGAGGUUUGGCACCUCGAUGUCGGCUCGUCGCAUCCUGGGGCUGUAUUCGGUCCCAAGGGUUUGGCUGUUCGCCAAUUAAAGCGGCACGCGAGCUGGGUUCAGAACGUCGUGAGACAGUUCGGUCCCUAUCUGUUGCGGGCGUAAGAGAUUUGAAGGGAGCUGUCCUUAGUACGAGAGGACCGGGAUGGACGUACCUCUGGUGCACCAGUUGUCCUGCCAAGGGCAUAGCUGGGUAGCUAUGUACGGACGAGAUAAACGCUGAAAGCAUCUAAGCGUGAA